rnacentral:piRNA from 1 species
CAGCAGGCAACACAGAACUAUCU